AGAAACUCCAAAACGGCGCCGUUUUAAGUAAAGAAAAAAAAAACCUGAGGCGUGUUUGCCUCUGGUCGGGAAAGAUGAAUAGGCAGAGGCGUGUAUGCCUCUGCCACCGAUCGAAAAAGAAGAAGAUGAGACUUGCACACCGAGAAAGAAGGAUCGUGUAGGACUCCUUUUGCUCCUCCCUAUAAAAUGCGAAGAGAGGAAAGGAGAUCAGUGUAGGAAGAGAGAGAGAGAGAGAGAGAGAGAGAGAGAGAGAGGAAGAUAGAAAGAGAGGGGAUGCGGUUACCAUCAAUCGGCAGCCGAGAGAGGAAAGAAAAAAGAAAAAGAAAAAUGAGGGGGAGAACCCGGUGCUGCGCAGGAGAAGAAGAUGAUUUACACGGCAGCUCGACGUGCGUUUUGCUGUUCUGUGACUCCCUCCGAUGCAAUUCCACCUUAUCUAAGGCUGCAAAGUGCUCUGCGGUGAAUUUCGGCCAAUCCGUAGCGGUGAGUGGUGGCGAUCGGCGACGACAUAUGGUGGUCCAGUGGCGGCACGUGUGGAGGCGCGCGGACUUCUAGUGGUUGCGCACAGUGAGUCCUAGGAACCCGAUUCAGGUAGAUAUCACUGUAACAUGUUGAUCUUGUACAUCGGAGAUAAUUUCACGAACGAGAUUUAGACGAAAAUCAGGUAAGUGCGUAAGCACUUAUAAAUGUAAUUUAAUUUUUUUAAGAUAUUAAAAUUAUGACGCUUAAUAAUUGAUAAUUAGACGCAUGAUUCCAAUAAAAUUUUACUAUUAAUUAUUAUGUUCUUAUUUAUGUUUA